rnacentral:lncRNA from 1 species
UGAAACCUCCAUCCAUGUCUAAUUUCUGUAUUUUCUGCUUUAGCGUGUAUUUAUCAGACAAAUUUAACAAUGAUUUUAAAGAGAAAUUACUAGUUAGUGUAAUUUGAAACAAAACAGCAUCCAUUUUAUUUAUUGGAAAUCCAAAACUAAGUAUCUAAUGUUCAUUGUGCAUAUGUGCUAAGUUGCUCAGUCACGUUCGACUCUUUUUGACCCUGUAGACUGUAGUCACCAGGUUCCUCUGUCCAUGGGAUUCCAAGAAUACUGGAGUGGGUUGCCAUGCCACCCUCUAGGGGAUCCUCCCAAUCCAGGGAUCAAACCCACAUCUCUUGUUUCCUGCACUGGCAGACGGGUUCUUUCCCAAUAGCACCACCUGUUCUAAUGUGCAUUAGUGAUAUUUUAAAACAAUUAGAGCUUUUGCUUAGACACCAUUUACCAGCCUUUUCAGAAAAAUUGAGAGACAUACAGGAGCAUACAGAAUUGCAAAUCAAACAGAUAUAAAGAAGGAUCACGAGUACAUCAUGCACUGUGAAUGAAGAUGGCAGAGGCAGAUAGACAUUCAAAAAGGUGUCAAAGCUUCAUGAUUGAUGGUAAGCCCUAAUUACCCAAGAUGUGAGUUUUUGCACUAUUGGCUGGUGGAGUGAACUGAUGGACAGAUGCAGUAAUGCCAGGUGAGGCAGAGAGGAGCAGACAUUCUAACAGAAAUAAUGUGAACAGGAGCAAAACACCUGUGCUGACGGCUCGGGGUUCACAAUUUUCAGACUUAUCUCUCCAUACAUUAUAAUUAAUUGGAACUUAUGUGGACAGGAUUUCUAGA